rnacentral:piRNA from 1 species
UGCAGCGUGGUGCAGGAAGAGGUGAGA